CGAGCUAGGAAGAAAACCGGGCUUCCAAUGGGCGGGCAAGGAAGAAAACCGGGCAGCUUCACGAUCCCCCAGUCGGCCGUAUUUUCCUCCUCUCCCCACGCUCCCUCCUUCCCAAACCCUAUUUCUCUCUUUUUUGUUCUUCCUAGCGGCGGCGGCGGUGGUGAGGAGCGGCGACCGGGCAGCCGGCGGCAGGGAACUGCGAGGGGUAGCCAGUGCAUCCUCUCCCCGGCCUGUCCUCUCUCUUCUUGUCCUCCAUUUUCUUACGGCAAGAAGCGGCGGCGGGAAACGAGCGGGCUCUCCUCUCUUGCCCUGUCUUCUCUCCUCUCUCUCCUCGGCGGCGAGGGACGGCGGACAGUGUCGCCUGGAAUGGGUGCGCUCACCUAUUCCCUCUCUCGCCGGGCUCCCCAAUCUCUGUUUUGACCCCUCUCUCUAUAUCUGAAGGAGCAUGGCAUCGUGACAGAGGACUGAGCCAGUGACCAAGACGAAGUCCAACAGUAACCCUCAAGUUUGGUGAUUUCGCCCCUAAAAAAUCAGAGGUCGUGGUGAUGAUGGCCAUCAAGAUGAGAGAUGCAUGACGAUUACAACAUCUGGACAGAUCUCUCUCUGGUUUGUUCUAGGCGCAAGCAAAGAUACUAUGCAGUACUUCGCUGCGAUGACAGGGUGUAUACGCCGGACUUGUUGUUGCUCGACAACGAGGAAGCAAAGAGGCGAAUGCGAGACGGGAGAACAAGGACUCCUGCGACGGUGAUGGAGAGGAUGCCAACGCCAUGAAGCGGCUUUUGCGGAAGCCAACGCCAUGAAGCAUCCACAGUUCAUUUGUGUUUAUGAUGUUGUCAUACGCUCCACAUGGUAUUUUACUCUAUGAAUAACUCAAAAGUAUUUGGUGUUGAAAUUAUCCGUGUCAUAUUUACAGUUCUGCUACAUUCGCUUCGGGUACGCUUAGCUUAACUGGCCUGUCGACAAUAUAUAUGACUGUCUGCAAGAGGAUCUGUCUGGGGGACUAGAGUUACAUGCUAAGAAGGAUGGUUCGGAGGUUGCAUGCAAGAUUCUGAAGGUUAUAGGAUCUGGUGACACCACGAGUUAUGAGCAACCAAUGUAUAAAAAGGACAUUUAGUUGGAUAACACACGGUGGAUUUGUGCUAUUGUAGUGCUUUGUUUUUCUGCAAGUAUAGCCAAAUUCUUGGUAUGAUUAUCUCUCACCUAGCAUUGUGUAAGGAAUUGUGGACAGUUAUAUAUUUUUCACCUGAGUCCUGGUGAUCGAAUUUCCACAGCACAGGAUGCAGUUCAAUAAACUUCUGUCGAGAUUACUUAAGUUCACUAUGGAGUAUGGAGGCUACCUUUGCAUUUACGAUGACUUUGUGCAUCUGUGAUCUGAGUACCCAUGCUCAAACCUUGUGUGAUCCUUUCGGCAGCCAACGGGAGUUCCUAUGGUGAUGUGCCCUCACAGCUCUUAAUCUAUGUCAUGUUCUUAUGGAGUGCCUCUAUCUCGUGGCAACUAAUCACAAUGCUCCCUUUUCACAAAUAUGCGACAUAGGAAAAUUAUAUGUACUGUUUUUUCUAUUUGUGUUGCUACACUAGCAAACCUGCAAGUUUUUAAAGCAUUCAUUUAUAUAAUGUGCGCUUUAUCUUUGCU